AAGUCGUAACAAGGUUUCCGUAGGUGAACCUGCGGAAGGAUCAUCAACAAAUCCAAUCUUUCAAACCCACACACUGCUCUAUGCGAACCGUAUUUCUUCUCUCGCCUCUCGCCCCCCCCCCCCUCUUCGAGGGAGGAGGGCGGCGGGCGCGCGAGGGAGAAACCACAAAAACACACCAAAAAUUUAUCUCGUACAUUCGAGCCUAAGUCUAAAAGUGAAGUUUUGUCGGACCCGAAGGCCCUCCUCCUCGCGAGGGCGGCGGCCGGGAAAGACGAAAAGUUUCAUCUUAAAAAUAAAAAAAUUAAGACACAACUUUUAACAACGGAUCUCUUGGCUCUC
rnacentral:misc_RNA from 1 species